rnacentral:tRNA from 1 species
ACUAUUUUGGCAGAUAAGUGCAAUGGGCUUAGAAUCUAUAAAUGUAGAAUUUUUUUUCUAUAAAUAGUA